rnacentral:rRNA from 1 species
UACGAAGGGGGCUAGCGUUGCUCGGAAUCACUGGGCGUAAAGCGCACGUAGGCGGCUUUUUAAGUCAGGGGUGAAAUCCUGGAGCUCAACUCCAGAACUGCCUUUGAUACUGUGAAGCUUGAGUCCGGGAGAGGUGAGUGGAACUGCGAGUGUAGAGGUGAAAUUCGUAGAUAUUCGCAAGAACACCAGUGGCGAAGGCGGCUCACUGGCCCGGUACUGACGCUGAGGUGCGAAAGCGUGGGGAGCAAACAGG